CGGCCCCCUCCCGCCGCCGCCACCGCCCACUUGGCCCAGCGCCUCCCGGCAGGCACCGCGCCGCCGCCCCCGGAGCGGCGUCACUUCCAGCAGCGACCGGGGCGGGGGGGAGGGAAGGAGGAGGGGAUGAAGCACUGCCAUGGGCAAAUGAAUAAAUAAACAAAUAAAGCGGCCACGAUGGCGCUUCCCCCACUAAGAAAGGCCACCGGGGAGCACCGCAGCGGAGCGGCGGCCAUCUUAAGUGCUGGGAGUGUCCCGUGGAGCCCUCCAAGGUGAAGCGAGAAUUGCGCGUCCUCGGUGCCUGAAGGCCGUUCGGGGGCUGCGCCCUUGCCUAGCGGUAACGGGUCACUGCGGGAGGGCGCCCGUGGAGGCGGCUCGGCGGGAGGGACAGGGCACCUCCUGAGAGCACCCGAAAUAGAAAUGGGAAAUCAGGGCGGACAGCCGCUCCGUCUCGGGGCUGCCCAAUAAAUGGGUGCAUUAAAUGGUGCUGAAAGAUGGCAAGAUCAGAGCUGUUGAAGGGACUGCGCUUCACGUGUGGAAGUGAUGUUUUAGGAUACCACUGAGGUGAGGACUUAGGUCUUCAAUAGCUAACAAAUCUAGCUUGUGUCUUAUUACUCUGAUGUUCAGGAAAUUCAUGGUUUCAUUCCUCACUCUUGAGGUUAAGACAGCAUUUCUGCCUUGAUAAUUGUUUACUGCAAAAUUUUGCCUCUUUGAAGUUUUCUGAGGGUUUGGGGGGAUGUGAUCCCAUAUAUAUGAUCCUACAAUCCUGUUUUCAGAUCCCUCACUGGAACAGACUGCAUAUCACCAUUCCACCUUUUAUGUCUCUGUGACCAGGGGUAAAUCUCCUGAACAUCAGAGUCUGCAAAACACUUAAUCUGAGUGGAAUCCCCAAGGGCCUGUCUUCAUCAAGCUGAAACCUCAGUUAAUAAGCAUCAGGGUCUGCUAGAGUUACCAUCUUCAAAGAGUAGUUUGGUACAAAUUUGUUUCUGGAAAACAAGAUUCAUAUGUGCCUACACUUUACAGAGAAGGUUUUUACAUAGUCUAGCUGAAUAUGUAAGUGCAACAACAGUCAAAUCAUGCUGUAGUUGAACUGGCUUUCUCAAAGUAGUAUUUUACAGUUUUGUUGAGUUCUUGAGUAUGCAGACUUCAUAGAGAGAUGUUGAAAUACUGUGUCAAAGAGACGUGCAGUGAGUCUAUAUUUUUUAUAUAUCUUUUAUUUGCUCUUUUGCCCAAAGAGAGCACAAGCAGACAAUGAUUUGACCUCAUAAAUGAAAGAAUAUUUACAGCAAAAUCAGUAAGUGCUGAAAAAUAACAGAACAAUACACAAAUACUUCUGUCUUUCAGUUUUUCAUUGGUUUUUUUCCUGUUUUCUCAUACCUGUUUACGCUGUAUUGAUAGAUAUUGCCACAACUCUGAGCACAUUAAAAUCAUGCUAUGCAUUUUUAAAUAUGUAAAAAAUGUGCAAAGCCUGCCAUAUGUCCUUUGACUGCAGUGAACACUGUACGGCAAUUAAAACAUACUAACUGCUAUACAAAUUAAAAUAAUAAAGUAGUAAGCGAAGUAUAAUAUUAAGGCUGUGUUCCUACAGAAACUUAAGCAUAUAUUUAAACAUGCGAUAGUUCUGCUGAGGAAGGCUUAGAACAAAGUUACAUAUACAACUUUUCAUGUUUGAGAUAGGUUUGUGGAAUAAAAAUGUAAUAAUCUGCUAAUUUAAUAAAUAAGAAGGCAAGGAUGUGGAAAUGCAUAUUUGUAAUGUUUCAGUUACAUUAGGAGUCCCAUUACAAUAGCUGAAAAUAAUCAUAGGUGACUAUUAAUGAGGUUGUGUGUCUCUCAAAGCCGUGUGAUUAUUAACGAGGCUCUGUGACAUUACAUUUCGCCUCCUGGUGGCUGUUUUCUAUUUUCAGCAUAGUGUCAGAAAUGCAGCAUGAAGCUUGCACUGACCUGGCAGGACAGAAAGAAGCCAUGGGGAAACAGGAAGCUAGACAAUUUGGGAAUCAAAGAUCUUUUACCUCAUUCAGUGUAAACAUUGUGUUUUACAAAUUGUAAGGGUGAAGAGAAGAAUCUGCAAAAGUACUGGAAGACUUAGUUGUAAAGCAACAGACAAACUAGAUCACUGCUUCUUUGUAUUUAGCAGUGGCCAUUAAAUUUCAGGGGCCCAAAACAUACUUCACGUGUGGUACUAGACCAUGAAGAAUUGUUUGCCAUUUCAGCUGUGUUUGGUUAAUGGUCACUGGCCAUAAGGGUUAAUCAGUCUUAUAACAGCAUUGUAAAUAAUAGAAUUAGAGGGGCUAUUUCAAUAGACGUCUCAUCUUGUACAGCUGAUGUAGUAAUGAUGUGACUGAAUAUACAUGCUGCCCCCUUAAUGACCCAGGUAGUAAUCUGAGCUCCAGCACCCCAAAACAAAUAUAAAGCCUUCUGUGGAAAACACCAAUGUCACAAGCACAAUUGUGUGCCACAAGAAGAGAGCCAGAAAGAUCGACAGUGUCAGUAAUUAGGCCCUGGAAUAGAAGGGAAAUUGUUAAGUAAAAUUUCCAGGUGAUUUGAGGAGGUGAGUCAUAUCCUAAACUACAAAGGCAAAAAAUCUCUCCGAAUGGUCUCUGCCAGUCUGACCAGAGGGAAAUUUCCUUUUCUUCUUUCUUGGUGGUGUUCAGUAGCUCCUAGGACCAGAAGCUGAGUCUGUAAAAUUCAUUUAACUUGAAUGCAGGAUUAGAUGAGAGGUGAGUAUUCCACCUGAAAAAUGAAGUGAUCUUCACUUCUUAUAAACAGUGUGAAUGAUUAACAAGCUGUAUGAGGUUUUUAGUCAUUCCUAUGUCAGCUUUGCUGGUUGAAAGAGAUUACAUUUGCUUAUUAUGAAGACAGAAUGACUCUUUAUAAUAGAAUCAACCAUAUUAAGUAUUUGUUCCAUGAAACAGAAUCUGUGAGUUACAGCCUUACUUUCAAGGAGCUACUUUCAACACCUGAAACUUUUUUUUUUUUCAGAAUAACAUGGAUUCUGAACACUGUUAUCUGAAGAUUUCUAGAGUGUUUUUCUGUAAAUCUUCAAACAAAAAAGUACUUCCAAGCAAUUUCUUUUCUUGCAGAGCAGCAGGGUGAAGAAACAGUGUAAUCUUAGGAUAGUCAUCUCAAUGUAAAGCCCUAUCUAUAUAAGACAAUAGAGGUUUUAAGUCAUGUGAGACUCGUCUUGGUAAAUCCUAGAUUCAGAGUUGACUUGAGUUAGCUGCAGCCAAGAAGCUUUAUCGGUCACUAGCGCAAAAUCUGAAUCUGUCAGGAGAGGGCGCAGCCUUCCUAGAAGUCCCUGAUGGAAAAAAAGAUAGCUUGGUGUGUCAAGGUGAUUCAGAAAGUCUGUCUCCCAAAAACCAUAUAGUCUGGUGGUUCAGAGACUCCUCCUGGUUUGGGAAUUGAGCAUGUCGUGGAGUAGUUCUUAUGAUCUACAUCCAUGUCUUUCAUAAAAUGCAGUCAUUCAUCAUUCUCAAGAAAAUGAACUAUUUAUAGGAAAACAGUUCAGUUUUUUUAUUUUGCAUUUUGGAGCCUGCAGUACGGUUAUAGGGGAAUCACUGCAUGGUUAGCUAUAGUAUAAGUUAUACUAUGUAUUACAUUGUAUAAUAUAGAAUAUCUUCUGAAAGGUGUUGGAUUGCUGGCAGUGCAUGGUACGCGUCUGUUCUCUUCUAAAAUAUAUGCAGUAUAGCAUGGCUCCUGGCAGCACAAGCUUUUCCUGGCUUCCCUGCCCAGUGUGUGGGGAAGAGGCUUAUUGUCAUCAAAGACUAGAUAAAUCUUUAAACUUCAGGCAGUUUACUUCCUUCUGCUGAGUCUGGCAACACUGCUGGUCAGAAGCUAGAUAAUUCUGUUUCCUAAGAAAUUGUAAUGCUCAGCUGUUGUUGUUUUAUUUCUCUUUGUUUUUGGAGUUGAAUUGGACAUUUGAAGAUUUAAAAUAAUCCAUUGAAUGAAUUUAAAAUGUUCUUUGGACCUAUCAGAUCAUUUCAUUUCACUAAUGCCAAAGCCUUUUGUUUGUGUUAUUGUCAAUGUAAUAUGAGCUAGUUUAAACUUUUUCUGUGGAAAUGAAAUAUAAAAAGUAAAAAGCAAUUGAAAACAGGAAGUCAAGCCAAUACAUGUUAUCUUAACAGAAUGUUUUGACUUUUUCACCUCGUAAAAUGAAACUGAAUUGACAUUUCUAUGAAGCUUUUUUUAAUUCAAUAGAACUGCAUUUAUCUUGGACCAUUUUGGCUGAAAUAGCCCCUACUACAGCAUUAUCAAGCAGAAAGUGUGUGACUGAAUUCACUAAUCAACAUGAAAAGCUUUAUGUGAAAAUUGCUUCUGGCUGUGAUUUUAUGAGGUGAGUAUUGUCAAAGCUGGCUGAAUAAGUCAUACACAUUUUCUUCUGGCUUCUAAAUAGGCAACAGUUAGUGAAAGAAAAUUGUGCAGUUACUGUUGACCUAAGUUAAACACAGCAGCAGCUGAACAGCGAAUGAGGCAAGUUGCCCAUUACUGAAGUUCACUGCUGAUCUAUCCUUCAGCACCAAAAAGGUGGUAAAACUGACCUAUGAGCAGCUGUUGAUUUUUUUUUUUCUUUUCUUUUCUUGUUUUUUUUUUUUUCUUUGAGUAGUGGUUAGUGUCCCUGAGCUUCAUCCACAGUCAAUGCAGACAGCUUGGCUCUUCCACGGGCAAUUUGGAGCACCCAUCUGUGCCGGGCGAAAGACCCAGGAGUGCCUCCCAGCCUGGGGACCUGGGGCUGGAGUAUCUCGCUCAGUUGUUCAGUCACUGAGAUGUUCUUCUGAACAUCUUGAAUGCUCAUGUCUUCUGCGUUGCUGCUACUUCCCGUUAGUAUUGACCUCUGGGCAUGCAGAAUGACCAGGCACCUGUUUCUCUUGUUUUGGGGAUCCCCCCAAAAUGUCUCUGCUUUUCCCAGCCCUUCAAGGAAGGCACUGUCUCCAUCUGUUUUAGUUGCAAGGGCAUAAAAUACUAAACCUGCCACAUGCAAAACAGCAGUUUUGCGCUGCAGGGUUUUUUUUACUGUUUUACACAAAUCUUAGCUAUCUUUACGAAAGCCAUAGAUAUGAAAGCUAGAAAGCACAACUGCAUCAACAGUCCAAUCUCUUGUGAUUCAUAAGCCAUUAAGAAUCCCACCAUUGCACUUAGACAGUCCUAGAUGUGUUAACUAAGAACCUCACUUAGUUACACAAGAGAUGUAACUGCAGUUAUUUUAUAUGGGCCUCAGAAACCUCCUGCAUCCAAAAGGCCCAUAGGUUCUUUGACUUUGCUCAGGCUUAUUCAUGCAAGGAUGGGGUUGCUGACAUUGAGUGUUUUUGAGGGGGUUUCUUGGUUGGUUGGUUUCCUCCUGAGGAGCUCCUUUCUGAGUCUCAAUCAUGCCUGCAGCUGGGUUACAGCCUCUAACAAACAUGCAGGCACUCAUUCUUGCUAUAGGAGGGCUACCCAGUGGAUUAGCCAGCUCACGAAGGCCAAAACAGUCCCAUUUUCCCUGCUGUGGUUUACCCCGUAGCCUCAAAGUGGCAGAAGUUAAUGACCUCAGUGAGGUAAUAACAGGAAUACACCUGGCCUCAAUGUACUUUUAUAUGCAACUCCUCAGCAGCACCUGUAAAAUGUAUUUUAGCAUAUGUACAUUUUAAUGAGGAAGGGAAGGCUUGUGAAAAAAAGGCAAUAGACAAACCAAUACAGCUGCUAAAAACUCAUGAGCUUUCAGGGAUGAUGGCACUUCCUCAGGUGUGAGAGAGAAGCAGCAAACUUUAAGACAAGUGCAGGCUGAAAACCAUCUGACUUCAGCCAUAAUUUAUGUUACUCAGCGAAGCAGAGAGAAAAAAGAGCUGCCAACUGUAGCAGUCCACGAAGCUAUGACCAGUUUAUUGAGAAAUGGACAUCCGAGUUGGUGCAUUGGCAACACUUACUAUUUUCUCCCAGGUUUGACAACACUUCCUUCUCACAUAAUCUCAUCCUCUGGGAGUACCUCAACUGUCAGCAGGAAAGCAAGAAGAUUUCUAGCUCUCCCAGUGGCAGAGCAAAGCUUGUCAAUGUGACUUUUUUUGUUCAAUAAAAGCUCUAAAUGUAAAAAGCCAAUAAGAAAAUAAUUCAGAAUUAUUCAUUUAAAGACAAUCCCUUGCCUUUAAGAGGCCUGGUCUGUGAGUUUUGUAGAUUUAAGAUGAAAAGUGCUGAAAAUAUUUGAAGACCAUUAUUCCAUUUUAAUGUUACAGUUCAUAAUUUAUUUAUUGGACAAAGAGUUGAAUUCCCUGGCCAUCUUUCUUCCUCCUUGUGCUUCAUCUCCUCUUUUGAGGCAAGAGCUACCAAACUCCUUCAUGGAUCAGGUGCAAGUAGAAAACUCUGAGGUACAAACUAGUAGUACUGUGUAUGUGAUGAGUAAUGUUACAGUGGUCUCAUGCUGAGCUGCUUGGGGUGAUAAAACACAUGCCCAUAAUCUCUAUUAACAUCUAUUUUAAGGCCUUUUCACAUCUUAGGACAGUUGAGCUUUCUUUGGAGGCUCAGCAACACUCAAAUUUACCUCUGCAGUUGGUUUUCUUUUUGCAUUUAUUAAUGUUCCUAUAUUUAAUAAGACCUGCAAUAUUGUGUAAUUGCACAAGGUCUUUUCACAUCUCUAUGUCAGCAUGGUCGGGGAAAUUCAGAUGCAUCCCAAAACUGCCCAGACAGGCAAUUCAGCAUAAUAUGGUGCAAGUCCUGAAUGCAGGCAGAAAGAUCUUGGUUGAAAAUCGAUAGCUCCCUGUCCGUCCUGGCAAAAGUUAAAGUCACGCAGCUGUCUAGAUCUAAGCAGUUGGAUAUAGUGGAACAGGAGAAGUGAAGAGACUUGGUGAAUGACAGCACGCAGGCUUGACUUAGGGAGGGGGAUACCUUCUGCUCUUCAGACAGGGCUCUGCGUGAGCCCAGCCAAACUGCUGAAUCGCUGAGGCUGGACCAGGCAUGCCGCAAAGCCUGGCAGGUGGUGCGGUGGGUUUCUGUGGAUGCUUCCCUGCAGUGUGCAGGGGGGUAAGGAUGAUUCGGGUUGGGCUAGUGACACACAGCCUGGCAAAUCAUCCAUCUAGCAGCAAGCACAAACAUCGUGCUGGCCACUGGGCAUUUUGUUUCUUAGUCCGAUUGUGUGGGAAGAUGGGACUUGUGCAAUUGUGCAGGUUGACUCAUUUCAAUCAAGUCUGACAGAAAGCUAGAAUAGCUGAAUAUGCCUUUUAAUGUCCUCUCCCACCUGUUCCACUGAGGAAUAGCCCUCUACGUGAGCUCACGCCUACCAAAAAUCCAGGCAGAAGAGCAGCAGCUUAAAUAAUUUCCCAGCUAUGGGAUAAGCUGCACUAUUUUAAACACCAGACUCAAUCAACUGCAAAGCAUUAACUCGAGAAACUGGAGCUCCCUACUUCUGGUGCUCGUAGGAUUUUUUGUUAGGAUUCAUUCCUUGAUUUUGUUCCUCACAAAGCUGUCACAGGCUACAGAGGUACUUUGGAGACAUCCACUGAGACCCCCUCAUGUUUGCAGCACCCAGGGAAAUCUGACCACAAUUAUUUUGGGUAGUAUGGCUGAAAGUUGAAGCUACGUGUACAGUGAGCUUCCAAUGACGGAGAUGGUCAGAAACAGUCAGAAUGUUAUGGGGAAGCCCCAGACAGCUAAUAUUGAGGUACUUACUAAAUUUUCAACAAUAUACAGCACUGCCAUCAUCAGGCCCUUAUUCCUCUGAGCUGAUGUUAAGGCACAAAGAUAAUCAUAUUGAUGAUGAUGAUAUUGUUUUGGACAGAUUUUCCUAGUGAACCAAAAUUAUGUGACUAACAGUGAUGAAUAUCAAUUGAAAAAUAAAUUGAAAAUACUUUUUUCAAAGGAUCAUACCCUUUUCUCAGUACAGUAAAUAGUAAAGCAUCCAUUAAAUGCAAGUGGAAGUAGGAUUUAGUUCCACCUUGUAAAAUGGCUGACAUUUUUCUCGAUUAAUUAAUGUAAACUUCUGUGUCACAAAUGCAACUGCUAUGCAAAGAGAAUAGGUCCUUUCACAGAUGUUUUUCAAGAUACUUUUUGUCUGUCAAACUACUCCCUGCUACCUGCUUUCAGUACAGGUAACAGUGAUCAGGAAAACUGCUCAGGGAGAGAAACAGCAGGAUAAUGAAGGCAAGUGCAAGGACAGCAGACUUGGGAGGCACUGGGAAGUCUGACACCCCCCUUUUCAAAGUCCAAGCUCAGCCUGAGAUCUUCUGAGAGUGGCAGGAUCAGGUCAGUGAGGAGAACUAGUAAAGACGAGAUAAGUAAAUCCAGGUGCUGAGUGAUCUGCUUGAAUUCCCUGGGAUCUAGGUGAAGGCAUCCUCUUUCUGGAUUGUGAUUAACUCUGGGCUUCAGUGAUGGGAUAUGGGUGCUGAGGGUUUAGGUGGUGUCCUUGAUGUGCCCUGCACGAGCCCUUGCCACGGUGCACUCCCCCUUGUCAAUCACUGCACAUCUCUGCAGCCACCAUACAGCCUAAGUGCAGCCUGCAUUAGCCAAAGGAAGUAUAUAUGCAUCUUAGAGUAAUGGGCCAUAGCCACCGCUUCUCUCAUCUUAUUCAUGGAGUGUGCAUUAGUGGUGAAUUUGGCCCACGUUUUUCAGGUUUUAACCGCUGAACUUAAAAAAUUAAUAAGCAGAAUAAAACACAAACAUAUCAAUUUACGUGGUCUAACCUAGGUGCAAGAAGUGUGGAUUUCCAUGAUAGUCGAGAGAGGGCUAUUCAGAGCACCCGUGCUGCGCUCCAUAUUCACCUCUGGCUAUAGAGGGAUCCAACAGACCAAAUCUAGAGUAGAUCCUGAGGAUUUCUCCUCAGGCACCUGUUUAUCCACCUCGUGCAAUGCUGAUGAGUUGGAAACACAGCUCCAAACAGCACCAAAAGUGCCAAGACCUGCCUUCCCAAUGCAAGCAGAUUGUCAGGUGUUUCAAAGGAGUAACUUUGUCUUUCUUUUCCUGCAUUUACAGAAUUGUUUAUAAUGUAGGCCAGGCGGUAUUUGCUGUCUGCUCAGUCAGUAGCAAUCUGGUGCAUUUAAAUGAAAAACUCAUUGCUAUUUACAAUCUGUUUGCAUGCAAAUGGCAUUGGUCCAAUUGCCCAGUUGUGGAAUGUUAUAUGAGCAGAGCAGAUAUAAUUAUAUCCAAAUUUGGCUACAAUCCAUAUUUUGUCCAUAUUUAUCCAUAUUUUGCUGCAAAGGGUCCUGUUGUCUCCUUUGGCAGGAAAUCCCCUGGGCAGAGAACAUAUCCUCAGUAACUCGCUAGUUUACCCCUUACUGGGUAGAGUUCCCAACAAAUCCUCCUCUACGGCAGAGCCAAGGGGCAUGACCCUUCCUAGGGAUGCAGCUAUCACCAGAAGUCAAACCCUUGCCUCCCUGGCAGCAGAGCGCACUUAGGAGAUGUUGCAGCUUAUGAGAUCAUUCACACUUCUCUGAGCAGCACUAAUUCCUGAUGCAAAAUCUUCUGGCGAUAGCCUGGAUUUUCUGAGGAGCAGACUUGCUCCUGUGCAUGCUGUCGUGUGGUGGGGCGGGAGGGAGUUUCUGGAGCGCUGCAGAGAUUGAGGACUUCUCUCGCCAGUCAGGUGCUUGCUCCUGCAUAUUCAGAGAGAUGGUGGGAUAUGAACAAGCUCUGGUUCAAAAAUAAUACAGGCAUUUUAGCACAUGACUGCUCCCCCUCUAGCAAGUCUUCCCAUACAUUCUGGGACCAUUUUAUCUGAACUGUGCUGGUGGAGCUCAAUUUCUAGCAGUUGUCCCUUCACAGGGUCACUUCAGGGAUGAGGAAAGCAUAAACCAGGCCUGGUGGGGUGGCUGCUGCAAAAUGACCUGUUCUCCUCUGCCCAUAGAUAGGCAAAUUCAGGGUGGAUGGUACAUCUACUUUGUCACUGCAGAGGGUGUCUUCUAGUCUUUUUUCCAUAUGAAUGUCUUCAGAUGAAGUGUGACAGCAGGUUACACUGAGAAGAUUUUUCCACUCUGCAGUUCUCAACCAUCAAGAAAUGCUUAAAUUACCCUACAGGCUGAGCCUUCAGAUGUUACUUACACAUCUCUGAUUUUGGGUGACUAUUUAUACACUGUUACUAGCUAGGACACUUCUCUGGAGAGUGCCUCUUUCCCAGUCUGAGUUGCAGACAGAGCUACAACUUUGUGCUACCUAAAAAAAUAAAUAAAUAAAAAAAAAGGGAUGCCAGUCCUCUGCAAAGCGUGACAAAGAGCCAUUGUGCGCUCAGGUUUGCCUUGGGGCUGGUUUGCCUUUACAGAGCUGGGCCAGCUUUGCCUGAGUCAGGUUCUGUUUUAUGCAAGUUAUUGUUGUGCCUGUAGUUCAGUUUAAGAGUGGAUCAGAUAGGUUUCUUCCCCCUUCACAAUUAUUACCUUAUUAUCACUCUGUUUGUUAAUGUGUGUGCUGGUAGCAUCACGCAGCUACAAGCAUGCCCCAGGGCCCAGUGCAGUAAGUGCCUGUGGUGGUUUUUCUCUUCUGUUUGCCUAGAAGGAGCCAUCACAGCAUUAUAAGCUUAUCUCUAGAGUUUCUCCAGGCUCAUUCUUGCCUGUAGGAAAGCUUCAUGUGUUAGGCCUGGAUUUCUGUAGCAGAAGCUGGACUGUUACAUCCUGAGCUGAAAAAUGACCUGUUCUUCUCCUGCGUUGAGACUGGUACGAGGAGGCAGAUGGCAGAAGGUCAGAGCUGUACCAGACCCAGGUUCAACGCUGGCCCUGCAAUGAUCUCCAAGUUUCCCUUGGGAGUUAUAAUUUGGUUAGAAUAAAUAUGAUGGUGAAUGGGUGAGUCCCAUGAAAAGUGGGAGAUAAUCUCUGCAGUUAUGGCAGCUAGUGUUAGUCCGUGGAAAAAACACAGCGUUUAUGUGAACUUUGAGCAUCAGUUUUAUUCCCAUGUUUCUAGCUGAUCUAAUAAUACCUUAAUGUUGAAUUUGACCAUUUCACAUGCCAGAAAGCAAACAUUGCCCCCACAUGCCCUUUUCCAGCCCGUGAAGGUGCUCUCUGCAUUUCUCGUUGCACUGGUAUCAUUAAACUAUGAAAAAACAGAAUCACUUUAACCAAAGCAAUAGUUGCCAGAAGAAAGGGAUCACGCAGGGGACUAGAAGUGGUAAGUUGCUCUAUUGGCAGAAUGCAGCAGCUACAGUGAUAUCUACCUAACACACAUACGCGUAGGCUUUGGACUCACUAGCAUUAAAAACAUUUUGAAGGUCUGGAAUAAAGCUGUGUGCAUGUGCAUGUGUGUAUUUACACUUUUCCUGCAAAGGACAAGGAAAUGAAUGUGAUGCCUGCUUUUUUGGUGCUUAAUAUUGUUUGUCUGCAUGAAUAUUUUCUCUGAGGCUUAAGUGCCUGGUCUUUUAAAGCUAGUGGGCUGCUCCCAUGUAAAAUUCCUUCUCAGGAUAUGCCAGAGGAGCCAGCUGCAACUAAAACCCGGAGGACUGUGUCCCAGUCAUUCUUUGACCUCUCCUUCUUUGACUUGCUUUAUCUUUAAAUUACAUCCUUAGAGCUCUCAGUCUGUCGAAAUAGGACCAUGAUUGCCCAGAUCGUUGCUCACAGAAGGUGUAGUUUGAUCCUAACCUAAUCAGGAAUCAGUGGGUUUUCCCCUCAUAUCCGCUGGGGUGUAUCAAAAGGGACUAUCCUGAUAUGAAGAGUACAAAACAGGCAGAAACGAGAAAAGAUUCAGACUCCGAAUCUCUGAGCUCUGAAGGCCUCACUGUCCUGCAUCCCACAGGCAAGGAAAAAAAGCCCUGUGAAUGGGAAGUCUUGUAUCUGAAUUUUUCAGGUUUAACAAAAUGCGUGAACAUAUCGUAGUCUCUCUAUUUCUGUGGUCUCUCAGAGCGUUUAUCCCCAAAUCUUUGCUCAAUCUUUAGUUGGACAAAGUAGAUACAGAGAUCGAAAUGAGUAAGAACACAUCAGGACUCCUGCAUUUGGCUAAGGCUGCAUAUAAAAAUAAUAUUGUCUUAGAAAAUGAAAAGCCUGUGUCCUGCAUCUGCUGAGCAAGGGGUUUCACGCCCGUGUUUUUUCCCUGUGUCCUGGCAGAUUCACACAGUGGGAUGCAUCCAGACUGAGGCUAAGUAAUCAGCUGGAAGGCUGUUAUCUCUGCUGAAACACGGGCCUCUUCCCUUUCUGUUUCCAGGAGCUCGGCCCGUUCCUCCCUCCUUUGUUAGAGGCUUCAGCGUUACGGGAAGGCGAACGCUUUCACAUACAUCAUAGCGUUGGUGCUGGCUGAGGCUGAGCCCAACACGUUGUUUCUGUCUCGUCUCCCAGAGACGAUCUUUUAAUAAUUAAUACCUGUUAUUUAUGCCUUUUGGUAAAGCACUCCAAAACACCUGCUGGACUGACUCAUGGAUUUUGUGUAUCCAGUGAGCUUUCACCCGUCUCUGGCAUUCAGCUGUUUCGGAGUGACAGAAUUUAGAGUUGUGCACAAAACUGGGGACUCGGAACAGCUCAGGCCAGAUUCAUCUGCUACUGUAACAUCAGCAGAGUGCCAGCAAGGAGGAAUCUGGGUUUGUUUACUGUACAUUUGAGGGUAGGAGUCUGCCAAGGAAUGAAGGCUGAGUAUUGAGAAAGUCGGCAUCACCAGAGCUGUUUUUCAAACAAACCCACCAGCCGCUGGGUUUGGUAGCUCAGUUUCUGGGAAGGUGCUGUCCUGUCACUUCUUUCACAUGCAGGUGUAAAGAGCUCAGAAGGGCAGGGAUAGAAAUUAGCUUGUUCAGCCUGAGUAAAAUGAUAAAUUCGUUCUCCCAGAAUAUGAUUCUGCUUUAUCUGGUUUUACUUUUGGUGGAAGAGGAGGCAGGCAGUGUUUUCCUACUGCCACCUACUUGGGCAACUCAGCACCUGCUUGAAAGUCGCUAAAGGUUCCCAUAACCGAUAAUUGCUUUGGAUCUGGCUCCUAGGAAACUCUGCUGUAAACAGCAUUGGAAGUUAUUAAAAGUAAAGAAAGGCCACUUGUUUACAGAGCCCUUUCCACAUCCUGUGGCAGUUCUGGCUGAUAGAGCGUAUUGUGUUUCUGACUCCUACGUGCGGGAGAUGCUUGCGUCACCUGUGGGUGCUGCAGAGGAAUGUAGUAGAGUUGCUGUCCUAAGCGCCUCACUCCUUGCAGGGCUUUCUGUUCAGAGCUCUUUCCAAGCCUGGCAGGAUGGCUGAACCCCUGUGAAAGCAGAAUUGCAAAUGUCUUUUGUUGUAGGAGUGAUGCAUAACCCUCUGCCUUCAGCAGUGGAAGCCAUUGCUGUUCUUUACCCUCUUACGCUGGUGGUUUCCCUCCUAUUAACAGGUGCUUAAGGAAAUGUUUGGAGUUGUCUAUCUUUGGCCUGUUGUGCCAGCUAUUCUUUUUUUUAGCCUCAACUACAGGAUGUACACCCAUGUGAAGGAUAUCAGGCAUGUACAUUUGGGUGUUUGUUAGAAGGCGAGAGUCCUUAAGGUCCCUUUAUAGUCAUUGGAGUUAGGUCCUCUGGAAGGCCAUUCAGGGCAUCAGAAUUGGCUCUUAUAAAUCAUCCUCUGGAGGAGUGUCUCUCUUUCCACUGUCUAUAUAGGGAACCCACAGAGACUAGACUCAAUUACCGUAGCUGAAAUUAGAUGCUGCAGUAAGUGGUGUGAAUACCCCACAGUUCCAGCUACUACUCACCCACAAAGAGGCUUCCAGUUUUCCCAUUGAAGUAGGCACUCAGCUGGCAUAAGCAAAAAAGCAGUCUUUGUGGAAAAUGGUGUCUUAAACAUCAAUCUUUAUUGCACCAAAUACCUCUUUGAAAUCCUCGCCCUGGGAAGCUGUUGACACACGUUCGAGUCACUCUCCCAUCUUCUCCCAAUAAAUGCAUGUGUAAUUGUGUUUGUGUAUACUAGUUACAUGUUGCUGUGGAAGUCUUGGCGUGCUGAUAUACAUCUGCAUGCCAGCCUUCUCAGCCUGUGGCUCCAUGGCCGUAUAUGGAAGUUCACCUGUGAAGAUAUCCCGAAUUUCCCUUUGGACCUGCUCGGGGUCUAAACCAGCAGCUCGGAAGAAGGCAAGCAGAGCUACUGUGUGCUCAAGACAGAUGGCAGCCUCUGGCAGCGAGAACUGUGGCCUCCCAGUUGACACCUGGUUCGUGUUGCCUUGAAACCUGCAAGGGACAUCUCUUGCUGCCGUGCCCUCCCCAGAACGAGACAGUGCCUGUGGAGCGGUGUGCUCUUGGAGGCCAAAUCCAGCUAUUCCCUUCCAGCACUGCAGGUGGAAAAAGCUGGCUUGAACGUAAAGGAAGUGACAAAAAAUACCUGCAGGCUGGCCAGAGGCAGGUGGGAACAGGCUGAGGAGACGGAGGUCCGUUCGGUCUGGUGCCACGGCUGCGUAGAUUCGGUGUCUAAAAUCCCUUGCGGGCAGAGAACGAAAUGGUAGGAGACAUUAGCUGCAGUUAACUUGGGGGGCUACUAUGAAGCCAGGAGUAUUAACGCUUGAAAGCACACAUUUUAGCAUAAUUAGAGCCUUUUCUGAAAUGAAGAUAAAACUUGAUAUGCAGAGUCUAUACACUUAGAUUUCAUGCUACACUACGCCCCUUGGAGUAGGCCUUUAUCUUACAUUUACAUCAGGAUGUUAGGCAAUAUGCCACCACCUUCAAUUUACUUUAGCUCCAGCGACUGCUACUUCUUAUCGUGCGGAUUGAUGCAACAUGCUAAUAUGUUUUAGAAAAGCUUCCUGUCUUGUAUUUGGUUAUUAGGUUAAAAGCUUUGUGUACCUUGAAGCAGGUGAUAAUAAACAUGAUGAAAGAGUAAAAAGAGAUAAAUAAUACUGAGAAGGUAGUUUAGAGUCUUCUCUACCCAUCCACCUAUUACAAGAUCAAAGGGCCUUUAAAGAAACCGAUAAUUGGUACACUAAAUUUGGACAGAGAGGAACUUUCUUUGCAAAAAGUAUUGGUGAACAUUGGUGAACAAUAUCAGCAUGCAUAAACUUAGCAGAAUUACAAAAAAGACUGGGCAUUUAAAAGCCCCCAAAGUCAAAAUGUUCUGUUAUAACAUUAAAUAUAAAAAAUUCAAGAGUACUGAAUAAAUUUCAAACCAGUUCUACCCAAAGAGGAUUAAAAUAAAGAUCUAUCUGGGGCAAGUUAUGCUACAGCUCUUUGCCACAGCAUCCCUUGUGCUGUCCUCCAAAACAAGGUCUAGUCAGCACAGCCAAAGGCAAUACUGAACUAUCUGGACUGUCAGUUUUAUCAAGUGCAGCAGUCACGGGGUUCCUGUGAUGGGCUGUGAUCACCAGCCUAUUUAUGUCGAAUACAGCUACGGUCUGCUGACCUGGGCCUAGAUCGUGAUGUGGCUGCAAACUAAAGGGAGAUACCUGACUGAGAAGUGGAUGGUAUCUGAAUGGCGUCUGACACCGACCCGAAUGGUUGCUGGAUGCUUCGAGUGGGCAGUGUUUAGUUCUACAAGUGAACCCAAGUGCUGCUCCAUUUGGGUUGGCUCAGGUUGGCUCUUAGUGGAAAGAUUAAGACCUUGAUGAGUAGUGUACAACUCCUGUCUGAACGAGCCCAACAGCAGGGCUGCUAGCCUGACUGAUACUAUUCCCAGACAGUCUGAAACUGCCUCUUCUGCUUUACAAGACCUAUAAAUGCUUUACGAGACAUACAAGUUCCCAACGGAUGCUGCUGCACAUCUGCUCUGCACAGACAGCUUCUCGUUACAUCCCAACCAGCUCUGCUUAGAGGCAGCUGGGGCUUAACAGGUCUAUGGCCACACCUGGUAUGGACACGCUGCUCCGCAGAUGCUUCGUCUCCUCAUCCUGGAAAGUGGGAUUCUACUUUUCACCAGCUUCCCUUCCACGCUGGCCGGAGUGAACCACAGUUUUUGGAGGACACCCUUAGAGGUAAAAGCUCUGUGCUUGUCAGCUGUUGAAUUUCAGAGCUGUUCAGUCCUGCCCUUUCCUCCUCCCCCAAACAGUAAAAUGGUUCCUGGCACUGUCCAGGAAUUCAUCUGUUGGCAUUUUAAUAUGCAUGUGUAUGAUCAUCCAAUUGCUACAAUUACACUGUGGGAAUCUGUUUCUAAAAAUACACCAAUCACUGCUGCCCUCCAACACUAGCAAGAGAUAACGUAUCACGUUCCCUAGUUGCCAGUGGCACACAGGAUGAAGCUAAUCAAUACAGCUGGUAAUACAUAAAAACAACAACAAUUAUAAUUGCAACUGAUUUCCCUUUCAUUUAAACACAUCAUCUUGUAUCCUGCAUUAUGGCAGCUUCAAUUGAACAAUGCAUUAAAAUGAUCACGUGCUUCCCUUCUCAUGUGCUAAUUAGGACCCUGUUGUUUUGCUUGAGAGCAUCUUUUGAAUAGCAUGAAGAGGUUGGGUUUAGUAUGAGAGCCGUAAACCAGUCCAUCCUCUGGCAGCUGCUCCAUUGCUAUCAGUCAGUGUACUUCCACUGAAAUCAGUAGGAAUCUACCUGUCUGCAGCGCUCAGGAUCUAAUGGUGUAUUUUGUCUAAGGAACUGUAUGUGUGCAUCGUCUUUUGAAUGCAAGGUGCAGCAAACUACUCCCUGCUCAGAAACCUGAUCUUCCGUGUUCCAGCUUCUCUUCUGCAUUAUUUAAAUUGCAGGUGAAAGCACUGUGAAUCGGUGGAGGCUGCAAAAAAAAAAAAAAAAAAACAUAAUGCCAAAUUCAAUUUUUACCAUCAUUCUGAAAGGAUUUUGUGUUACAAUAGUCCUUUAUUGUGUUACAAUAAAGUUUUGUGGUGCCACAGAUGAGCUACUCGCAGUGUAUGACGUUACUCAACCUUAUUAAUGGUGGAUAUUCUGGUCCAAAAUAACAUGUUUGCCCGGUCAGUGAAGGGGGGGCCCAGGAGCCUGAGCUUCUGUGUUCUGGCCAGAAGUCACAGUGCUGAGACAUUAGAUGUAUGCACAUAGGUGUAUUCCGAGUUACAGCACUGAGUGCUGAGAAACUCCUGUUACAUCUCUAUUCUUCACUUUCCUGGUCCAUAAAUUGACAGCAGUAAUGCUAGAAAUGGCAAGGAUUGUUCAUGAAUUAACAUGAAUUGCAAAGUUUGUCAGUGCUUCAAAGUUUUUCAGUGAGUGGUGCUAAAUCAGUUAUACCUUGGUCUGUGUCCAUCCAGGACAUCCAAACCUCUGAGGCCAGGAUCCACAGGUGAAUUCCUCUGGCUGUGGGAUUUCCACUAACGGUACUUGCUUGUGGAGGGGACCUGCCACCACUCGGAAAAGGCAGUGGGAAGGAAGGGGAUUGGAAGGGGAAGCUAUGUGCUGCACCCAUGCAAUAAUCCAGAGCUGCACCAGCUGUGCCCCUCACCUUCUGGUUUUUAGCCAGUACAGCUCGUUGUACCUUUCUUCCAAAGCUGGGAUGUAGAAGGAAUCUCGCUAUCCUCUACUUCGUAUUUUUAAAUUCAGAUAUUUCAUUUUGCCGUGGAGACUGUGCUAGUCUGUUGCUUUGCCAAGAAUGUGUCUUCCACUGAGAGCCAUAUUUUCUCCUUAGCUCUGAUCCGGAUCUCUCCUAGGCAGUGAAUAUCUUUCCCAUUAAAUAGAAAAUGUCUUAGAGAUCAGCCAAGAAAGAAUCCUUUCUGCCUCUUCGAGCAUUCAAUGCUAGAGCUGCUACUGCAACUUGUCAUACAUUACAAUACUGUCAGCACUGGCUCUUCUCCCUGCACAAGGGCUUUGGGGGCCAGAUGCUGACAGAGCUGCUGAGUAUAUCUCAGAAACGUCCAGCCCAGCAUCUCCACCAGCGCUUGGUGACAUCCAGCUCCGCAGCAUGAGGGUCUACAUCUCUGCUCAUUCAGAGCAACGCCUGCUCACAGCCCCUGGCCCCUUUGCUGUUAAUAUCGGGUAGACCAGUCCUGAAAUCCUCCUUGUUUCUCUGCUGCUGAGGUUUGUUGUUCAGCUUCAGCAAAAGCUUUUGCUCAUAAACCAGGCUUUUGUUCCUACUUUUCGGAGCCGUAAGGAAGCCCCGUACUGUAAACCAGGAGUCAGCUUAGUUCUGUUCUGCCAUUGCGUCUGCCUGCCAAGGGAGAUUUGCAGAUCUCCUUCAGCCACCUGGGACAGAGCUGCUGGAAGAUACGUCCUUCUCAGGGGUUUUUGCCGCGUGACCCCCUGGCAUUACAGCCCUGGUCUAGCAAGGCACCAGUGUGGAAACCGACGUUUCCAAACCCGAACAAGAUGAGAAAUAUAUAACCUUUGGAGAACGCUGGAGCCAAGGUGAUGUUUCAGAGCCAGCUGCUAUUCUUAGAGGAGCUGUGUAAGUCAUCAUGUAAAAAUAAGAUCCAGUGCAGUAUUAGCAGAGUUGUAUUCAUGGUAUUUCUGUGAGUAAAACCUUCAGCAUUAAUUGGGUUGGCUUCAAGCUCAGAAACAGUUCACCAAAAUAAGGCCCAGCUCUGAUGUGUAUGUACGUAGUACUGAUCUGAAUGGGAAGGCAGUGCCUGUAUCAGGUGCUCCUAAUGGAAUGUACCACCACUUCCUCACCCAAAAACUCUUACCUGUAUUUUACAGGUCAAGACAAGAGCUUUUCCAAGGCCUCUGUGGGAGUUAGCCACUAGAGAACUGCUGCAAAACAGCAAUAUUGGGUGUAUAUAUCUCCCCUUUUGAAAAUCCCCCCAGGCACUUACCCUGCCGUUGUCCUGCUGUGCGGCAGGGGCUAGGUGCUGCCUUUAUGCAUAGUGGGUGCUCUGCCAAGGUACAGCCAGGCUUCAAACCUUGUGGAAAGGCAUUUCUAACAUGCCUGUGUCUGGAAAUAUCAAAUAGGUGUGGGCUGACCAAGCAGGGGCAGCUUGGGGCUUACAUUCCACACAUCUUGGUUUGCCAGCGUUGUGCAGGACACGCUUCUUAAGGGAUGCUUAGGUUGUGUCUCUUCUAAAACAGAACAAAAUUCAGAGUGGUUUGGUGUAGGGAGGAUAUGAUAUUAUUUAUCUUCCUGCUCAAUUUGAGUGCCAAAUGUAAAAUCCAAAAUCAGAAACAGCAAACAGGGCUUGCUCUAAGGAGGACCGUAUCCCUAAGUGAGAAGGUUUGUGUGCACCACACACACAGCUUUGUCAUCUAUAGUGGGUGUAAUGAAGGCGAUUUUCAACCAGGGAAAUUUUUGCCCGUUGGAGGCAAUACCAAAAGACUGGGGGGCAGUAGGCCUUCUCCUGUUCAGCUGCAGAAACAGAAUACAGGCUGCUCUUGGGGUCACAGAGCACAGACCCUGCCGGGGCACCUGAUAGAAAGAAGGUCUGAGGGAAGGCGAGGUGAGUUUCCACCUCUGCAACCUGCCUAGGCACACUUCUGCAAAGGGGUUAUUGAAGCCUGACGUUCGCUGUACAAUGCUGCUCUACGUGGCAGGAGGGCUCCUUCCUUUAGAGAUUGCACUUGGCUCAUUUGCCCAGACUCUAUGCUGGGGCUACUGGAAGUGCCCUCAAACGUAAAAUCUUGUCUAAAGCCCAUCAAAGUCACUGAGAAAAUCCUGCUGGCUCUGAACCAGGUCAGUGCCAUACAAAUUUCUGGCUCUUAUGUGUAUUUAUCUCUGCUCUCCUUAUUUUUGCUUUGCAUCUGGGUUACUUGACGUUGUUCUUUAGCUUGGGUUCCCUAGAUGUUUUAACAUACCCCCUUUGUUUUAAGACUGUGGAUAGUAAAUAAAGGGCCAAUUUCAGGCUGGCUGUGAGCAGGGAUGGCCACAGAUCCAUGCUGAUGGGUUAAAGCUAGAAUGGACUGUGUGGGAAGCACCUGACCCAUUACCAUUUUACUAGGAGAAAACCAGAACUAACUACAUUCAAAUCUUGCUCAUCUGCUAUUUCAGAUUUUGAGGUUUGCCUCAGAAACCUAACUCAUUUCUUAUAACCGCAAUCAGAUGUUGGGCAUAAUCCUUUCCUACUUGGGGUCAUGUGAAUUUUUUCCAAUAGCUUUAGCGAGAAGAAGCUGAGACCUUGAAACUUGCUCUUGCACUUGCUCAAGUCAGUGUGAACUUUAGUCAGGAUCACACCAAAGAGUGAAACGCUGGAUCUCAUAACGCCACGUCUCUAGAGCUGGUCUUGUGGUUUUACUCACCACGUAAUCCUCACUCAUGAAUCUAGUCCCACCAGCGUGAGCUGGACUGUGCGUGUUACGCUGCAGAGACAGGCUGCUUUAUCCAAUGCAAAAGUGAUCAGGCGUCCGUGUCAGAAACCUGAUGUCCUGGCCCUAAGGUCACAGCCAUGCGUGUUAACUCCCGAGGCUUACGCUGCCCAGUGAUGAGCAAGCAAGCUAUUCUUUCCUCUAAUAAAGUUGUUUGAUUGUUCUGCAUGAUGCAUUUAAACUGAGAAGUGGUUUUGCACAAGCUGCUAUCAAAGCUGCACAUCUCAUUCCAAAAUUUCACACUGGUUUUAUGAGUGAAAGAGUUAGCUAUAUCUGAAAAACACUCAGAAGAUAAAAGAGGCCAGACGUUAAAGAAAAAAAGAGGGUGUCUAAUUAGGGUUAGUAAUUCAUAUAAAAGACAGAACCACCUAGUGAAGAUUUUACAUUUUAUUGUUAUUAAAAGUUCAUUAUCAAAUUGGCACAACACAUAAAAAUAGAUCUGUGGUGAAUGAUACAUAUCAUUAUUAUUAUUGCCAGAUCAUUUCGUGCACAUCCUCACUUUUUAAAAUCAGAAGGUAACAGACGUGAAACAUUUCAUUGGCUAACUGUGAAACCACUGUAACUGCAACGAGGAGAGGCUGUACUUUCUGUUGACUCUACUCAAACAAGUAAUGCAGACAGAAAUAUUCCUCUCUUCAUACUUAAAAAUAAACUCAAGAGAAUGAAUGAAUACACACACUUUUAAAUAUGUCCCAGCUGAAAAUAUAGACUGGAAAGGGAGGGCUGGAAAUACCCCCUUUUCCUGUGGACCCACUUCCAUUUAAGUCAAAGGGAGUUUUGCUCUGGGCUUCAAAAGCAGCCUGAUGUAGCUAUUUGUUGACAGAUGGAUCCAAUAGCCUAGCGACAGAAGCUAGGGAGGACCUGUGGCAAAGUGUGAGUUUAUUAUUUUGAUGCUGCACAUGCUGCUGAAUCUCCUGGUUAUAGUAAUUGAGCGUGUUCUUAACAGCAGUGAUUGCUGGGAGGAGCUGGGAGGGUGUAUCAAAGCCAGAUAAAGCGUCUGCAGCUCCUUUCUUCUCCCUAUUUGGGCUGGCUCUAGUUCUGACCCCACACUUCAUUCACUGCAAAGUGACUUUUACCUGUAAGCUUUCUGAUCCACAUGAGAAACUUGGAACAAACCCCACAGUUAUAAAAACCUGCUCGGGUCACUAACUGUUUGUAGACUUGUGUGGACGUAAAUACAGCUUUUCCUCCUAACUCCUAUGCUUGUCCCAGUAAGCAUUUAGGGCUGCCCUCAGCCUCACACUCGUUCCACGUACCGUCGUAUCAGUUCUAUGGGUGCCAGGGAGGCUGCUUAGAGCUGCCACCGACAGGCUUAGCAGAACUGCACUUCUGCAGUUUUCUGUGUAAAAAGGUCCCUGUAACCAACCUCAGCAGUGACAGCAGCACUGUGGAUUUCUGCGGGGAGCAGCUCUCGUGACUGAGUGGCAGGACAAGCCCUCUGUCCAACACGCUGCUUGAUUGUCCGCAGGAGAGAAUACCUUAGUGGCAUGGCUGCCUCUAAAUUUUCCUAUUAUUUAUUUAGGACCCUCUUUCAAAGGAGGAAUGCAAGACCACAGAGCCAGUUCAUGCCUUCCAAACUCUUGGCCAUGCUGUUCUUUGCAGCGUGUUUUGAUACGGGGGUUGCAGAAGGCAGCAGCUAGCGGUGUGUCAAACGCACACGCUUGGGCAACUCACCGCAUCCGAAGCCUGGGCUCUUGCCUAGCUCCGAAAUGCCCGCUGCUUAUCCUCUGGACUCCUGCUCCAUCAGGACUAUACUACGUUACGCUGCCACAGUGCUGCUAGCAAGCUUGGGAGUACUGUGGCCACUUCGUUGUCAUUUCCUCCCCGGUGAAUAGUUUCAAAUCCUGGAAGAUAAAAUCGCAAUGCUGCUCCCACACGUUAAAAUCUCUGGGCUUCCCUUUCGGCUUCGCUUCGGGAGAGUGACAGGGUGGGAACUGGCAGAGCAGAACGGUGCAUCAGGCGCUCUCUUUGGUUUUCAGGCUGAAAAAUUUACUCGAAACAACCCUCAAGAAAGAUGCUAUGCCUCAAGCAGAUGUUACAUUCAGCUCGUUUAGCAAUAGUACGCCUAUUUCUUCUCAAGCUAGUCAAGGAGCAGGGAGAGAAUAUAAUAUAAGCUAGUGCAAAUUCACACAGACAGCAUAUGAAUAUUUAGUACAAAAUGUUCUUUCAAGGUGGGGCAAACAUUUCUAAUUGUGAUACAAAAACAAGGUAUUGCGUAACAUUUUUAACAACUUGGCCGUGAAAAAGCAUUUCUGUGAAAUAUGUUUAGACAAAGACUAUCUCACACAAUACCGAAGUAUUUCAAGGCUCUUUCUGAGUAGGAAAUAAACUUAUGUUUUUUAAAAAUAUAUCGGCUUUAUCACAGCCAAUUCUAAACACAAUCAAGUAAUUUGGGGACAGUUUUUUGGGUUGUUUUCACUUUUUCUUUUUUAGAAAAAAAACAACACUGUGCUAAACGGAGGGAUUUCUCUCCACCUGGUUUUUACCCAUUCAAGGCUUCUUUCAUUUCAAGAUUAAUUUCCUGAUUCAGAGGAAAGAAAGGAGAUAUUCAGCUAACAGAUUCCAGCAAGAGAUUUCCAAAGUUGGUUCAUGCACUGCCUUGUUCCUGAAGAAUCAAAGCUUCCAAGAAGUUCACAGACUGUCUGUUCCUACUAAAAACAAUACAAGCUACUGGGAGCAGAGCAUGCUGAAAACCUGGCCCAGUUUGGAAACAGUCUGAUUUCAACACUAGUAUGGUUUAUAUCCCAAAUGAAGAUCUGAAUAAUCCCUCAAUUCUGGAGACCAAAGAAUUCAGAUAUAAAUUUUGCAGCACAGUCUCCCAUCUUAAGCAUUUGCAUUUGGCUCAAAGUGUAACUGAACAAAAACAUUUAAGGCCUUGGUUUUAUUUUGGUUUUCUUUUCUUUCUGGUGUAAAAGUGUCCAGCAGUAGCUUCUGAUUGUGGUUAGCCAACCUAAACCGAGCAUGCAUGGAACAGCCCUUGGUUACAUACAGACCUCAUCCUUCCUUCACCUGCCAUAGCCUGGUACUGCCCAAGAGCAAAAGAAAAACAAAAAGGCUUCCAGAAGUGUGUUACACGGACAAAUGAAUGCUGACACCCUAACUGUGAUUUUCUGAGCACUCAGGCAAACCACAGUACAUCAGAAGUGGGUUCCCACCCUUCCUGCCUCUGAGCCCGGCUUGGAAACCACAGCAGGCGGAAUCAGGUGGUGGGCGCUGCUCUUGGUAGAGAUACGCAAAGGUAAAACCAGAGGGAGGCUCAAAACAGCAUUUUCCUGAGACAGAAAACUACUGGAGCAGGAAUGCACUGGAGCGUACAGCACAGCGGGCAAUAUCCCAAGGGCCUCACUCCCGACGGAGAUGCCACCGGCACAGCGGUGCUUAGAGCUCAUCUCGGCACCCCUGGCCUAUGUGCUGUGCUGUGCUGAGCCCGUGCAGGGUAAGAAAGGCCGGAGGGUGCCCCAGCCUACCGCAGCUACCGGGAAUCCCAAGGGGCUGGAAAUACAAUUCAGCCAAAUCCUUUGUUCUGGGCAAAAGGUAUGGAGGGGAAAUCUCUAUUGGCUUUGUGCUACCAGGAAGAUCUCUUUUGGUUUUGCGCUGUCACAGGGUCAUGGUGCUGGUCUCUCCAGGCUGGCACUUUCUGGCCCACCAAACUAGCAGGGGGACCUCAGGCAAUGGCACCGCAUCAGGAGACCUGACCUUACACAUAGAGCUGGAGAAAACACUGGGCAAGGUGGGUGCUAAAUCUCUCUCCAAACAGAAUUUCGUCUUCUACCUGCAUCUGCUUUAGAGCUAUAGACCAUUUCAAAGCUGGAGAAAAAUCCAAACAGCUCAUGUAGAAGCACCUUUCCCUUGGAUUUUUAUUAUUAUUAUUAUUUUUUUAAAGAAUAUAUUUUGUACCAAAACACUGUCAGCAUUCUUUACACAAUGAAAAAUGAUGCCAUCAUCAUGUAUCAUGUAAAAGAAUAAAAACAGAGCAAGACAGGAAUAUUUCAUAUCAAGAUUCAAUCUAUCUGUAGUACAGAGUCCGAUGUAAAUCCUAAAGCCACACACCAAAUAAAAAGAUCACCUGAAAAAUAACAGGCUCUGGCUUAAUUUGGAAAAAGGGGGAAAAAAAAGUCAGGGAACUUCAACAUUAAGGCUAAAACUUCCAUUUUUAACUUUUAUUAUGUAGGUGGCAGCCUGAUUCUUAACUCAUUCACACUAGCAGCACCCCAUUGGCUUUAGGAAGAGAUUUACGCUUGUGUGAAGUAAGAAUCAGGCCUUUAUGCCUUUGUGCUCAGAGGACUCUGAUUGACCUCAACAGGCUUUGGACUGGAGCCACAGUCGGAAUUUCAGCUUGCAGUCUAAGGCUUCUUAACUGCAGGCCAAAUUAGCACAAAAUGAGGCUUUGCAACUGGCAUUCUAUCCUUAACUUUGGAUAUUCCAGUUCUGGUUGCCUUAAACCACAUCUUUAUUGCAAGCUUAACAUCGUUCUGUUUGUGAUAUUCUUCUCUGCUUUUUUUUUUUUUUUUAAACACUGUGCUACAAAAAUUGCGUUUGUAUUCUGUGUCUGAGAAAGUCCCUAUAUUACAUGUUUUCAUAAUUGCCUAAAUAUACAUUUAUAUCAUAACUACUCAGAAAGACCUGCUAUAGUCUAUUGUGAGCAGCCAAGGAAAAAGUGUUGUCCUAAAGAAGUCAAGAAAUGUGGUAGUGUUCAUUUAUAGUGUAGCACAAUGACUGUGUUUAUACAGCUAUACCUAGUAUUUAAAAAGCUACUUGAAAAGUUAUUAUUCAUGUGCAGUAGCUGAUUUUCAAGCAUUAAUAACUUGGCUGUCUAGACAAGUUUUAAUUGUCAUAUCAAAGGCCAAAUAUGUUCUUAAAUAAGUGCAGAAAAUCUCCCAUCUCCCCAGCAAAGAGGCUGGUUGCUGAACUAAGCGACAGCCAAAUUUAAAUUCUUCUGGAGUUAUAAAAGCACAGCUAAACCUACAAAUUUGCUAUUUAAGUUUUAAAAACAGAUUGACCUUAAUUCAAACCUGUCCUGUGCAGCAAAGUUAGAAAGCCCUGAAAAACAGUUUCUAGUGAAUAUGCAAAAAGUUCCCCCCAGCCCCCACCAACUACCGCUCCCACAUUUUCCCAGGGCCUAGAGGGCUUCAUUAAAAUGUGACUGAAUGUUCAAUAGGAAACAUGAUUUUUCAAGAAUGAUAUGUUAAGUUUAAAAGAACCUAAGACAUUUUGUACAUUCAAAAUGUUUACACUUUGCUGUUCUUAGCGAUCAGUAAUAUUGUUCAUUUUUACUAAUAAUACAUACAAUGAGUAUAAAUAAAUAAACUACAGAUAAGCUUUAAAAAUCGUAUUAACAAUACAUUGUGCAAAAACUUGUAACGAUCUACAUUCUAUGCCAAUACCCUGACUAAAAUAUACAGGCUGUGUCCUGACACCCUCAUUCAGUUUUUACACAGUCCUUGGGCCAGAUCAGCAGGUGGGAGCAACCAGCGAAAUUCCACUGCAAACGAUGGAGGCGAGCUGAUUUACACCAGCAGAAGAGCUGGCCCCCAGGUAUGUGCAAAAAUCCCACAGACAUCAAUGGGAAUUGUGCUCGACUAAGGACUAGACAGUUUGAUUGUACCCCAUUAAAGCAAACGGGAGUUUUGUCACCGAUUUCCAUGGAACCGGGCUCCUGCCCCGUGUAAGGACCUCAGCACGUGACCCUGUGUUGUGCUACACUACUCCACUUCAGUGCAGAAACAAUAUUUGCAAAAGAAAAACUUUUUUGUUGUUGCUGCUCUUCAGUAACUGGUUUCAGCACAGCAUUUCAGAAAUUGCCUUUCUGUGAGAUUAAAAAAAAAAAAAAAAAAAAAAAAAAAA